GAUGAACGCUGGCGGCGUGCCUAAUACAUGCAAGUCGAGCGCGUGAAACUAAACAGAACUCUUCGGAGUGACGUAUAGCGGAUCGAGCGGCGGAUGGGUGAGUAACACGUGGGCAACCUGCCUAUAAGACUGGGAUAACUUACGGAAACGUGAGCUAAUACCGGAUGAAACCUCUUAUCACCUGGUAAGAGGAUGAAAGAUGGCUUUUAGCUAUCACUUAUAGAUGGGCCCGCGGCGCAUUAGCUAGUUGGUGAGAUAAAAGCUCACCAAGGCAACGAUGCGUAGCCGACCUGAGAGGGUGAUCGGCCACACUGGGACUGAGACACGGCCCAGACUCCUACGGGAGGCAGCAGUAGGGAAUCUUCCGCAAUGGACGAAAGUCUGACGGAGCAACGCCGCGUGAACGAAGAAGGUUCUCGGAUCGUAAAGUUCUGUUGUUAGGGAAGAACACGUACCAUUCGAAUAGGGUGGUACCUUGACGGUACCUAACGAGAAAGCCCCGGCUAACUACGUGCCAGCAGCCGCGGUAAUACGUAGGGGGCAAGCGUUGUCCGGAAUUAUUGGGCGUAAAGCGCUCGCAGGCGGUUUUUUAAGUCUGAUGUGAAAUCUUGCGGCUCAACCGCAAGCGGUCAUUGGAAACUGGAGAACUUGAGGACAGAAGAGGAGAGUGGAAUUCCACGUGUAGCGGUGAAAUGCGUAGAGAUGUGGAGGAACACCAGUGGCGAAGGCGACUCUCUGGUCUGUAACUGACGCUGAGGAGCGAAAGCGUGGGUAGCGAACAGGAUUAGAUACCCUGGUAGUCCACGCCGUAAACGAUGAGUGCUAGGUGUUAGGGGGUUUCCGCCCCUUAGUGCUGGCGUUAACGCAUUAAGCACUCCGCCUGGGGAGUACGGCCGCAAG
rnacentral:rRNA from 1 species